rnacentral:rRNA from 1 species
AAACCAACAGGGAUUNCCUUAGUAGCGGCGAGUGAAGCGGCAAAAGCUCAAAUUUGAAAUCUGGCUCUUUCAGAGUCCGAGUUGUAAUUUGAAGAAGGUAUCUUUGGGUCUGGCUCUUGUCUAUGUUUCUUGGAACAGAACGUCACAGAGGGUGAGAAUCCCGUGCGAUGAGAUGAUCCAGGCCUAUGUAAAGUUCCUUCGAAGAGUCGAGUUGUUUGGGAAUGCAGCUCUAAGUGGGUGGUAAAUUCCAUCUAAAGCUAAAUAUUGGCGAGAGACCGAUAGCGAACAAGUACAGUGAUGGAAAGAUGAAAAGAACUUUGAAAAGAGAGUGAAAAAGUACGUGAAAUUGUUGAAAGGGAAGGGCUUGAGAUCAGACUUGGUAUUUUGUAUGUUACUUCUUCGGGGGUGGCCUCUACAGUUUAUCGGGCCAGCAUCAGUUUGGGCGGUAGGAGAAUUGCGUUGGAAUGUGGCACGGCUUCGGUUGUGUGUUAUAGCCUUCGUCGAUACUGCCAGCCUAGACUGAGGACUGCGGUUUAUACCUAGGAUGUUGGCAUAAUGAUCUUAAGUCGCCCGUCUUGAAACACGGACCAC